CAUUAUACGGCGAAACUGCGAAUGGCUCAUUAAAUCAGUUAUCGUUUAUUUGAUAGUACCUUACUACUUGGAUAACCGUGGUAAUUCUAGAGCUAAUACAUGCUUAAAACCCCGACUCACGAAGGGGUGUAUUUAUUAGAUUAAAAACCAAUGCCCUUCGGGGCUCUUUGGUGAUUCAUAAUAACUUUUCGAAUCGCAUGGCCUUGCGCCGGCGAUGGUUCAUUCAAAUUUCUGCCCUAUCAACUUUCGAUGGCAGGGUCUUGGCCUGCCAUGGUGACAACGGGUAACGGAGGGUUAGGGCUCGACCCCGGAGAAGGAGCCUGAGAAACGGCUACUACAUCCAAGGAAGGCAGCAGGCGCGCAAAUUACCCAAUCCCGACUCGGGGAGGUAGUGACAAUAAAUACUGAUACAGGGCUCUUUUGGGUCUUGUAAUUGGAAUGAGUACAAUUUAAAUCCCUUAACGAGGAACAAUUGGAGGGCAAGUCUGGUGCCAGCAGCCGCGGUAAUUCCAGCUCCAAUAGCGUAUAUUAAAGUUGUUGCAGUUAAAAAGCUCGUAGUUGAACCUUGGGCCUGGCUGGCCGGUCCGCCUCACCGCGUGCACUGGUUCGGCCGGGCCUUUCCCUCUGGGGAACCGCAUGCCCUUCACUGGGUGUGUCGGGGAACCAGGACUUUUACUGUGAAAAAAUUAGAGUGUUCAAAGCAGGCCUAUGCUCGAAUACAUUAGCAUGGAAUAAUAGAAUAGGACGUGUGGUUCUAUUUUGUUGGUUUCUAGGACCGCCGUAAUGAUUAAUAGGGACAGUCGGGGGCAUCAGUAUUCAAUUGUCAGAGGUGAAAUUCUUGGAUUUAUUGAAGACUAACUACUGCGAAAGCAUUUGCCAAGGAUGUUUUCAUUAAUCAGGAACGAAAGUUAGGGGAUCGAAGACGAUCAGAUACCGUCGUAGUCUUAACCAUAAACUAUGCCGACUAGGGAUCGGGCGAUGUUAUUAUUUGACUCGCUCGGCACCUUACGAGAAAUCAAAGUCUUG
rnacentral:rRNA from 1 species